rnacentral:rRNA from 1 species
GCUCGUAGUUGGAUUUUGGGCGCGGGCGGUCGGUCCGUCGCGAGGCGUGUACUGGUCGACCCGGCCUUACGUCCGGUUCUCCGGCGGUGCUCUUGACUGAGUGUCGGCGGCGGCCGGAAAGUUUACUUUGAAAAAAUUAGAGUGUUCAAAGCAGGCUCUCGAGCCUGAAUAAUGGUGCAUGGAAUAAUGGAAUAGGACCUCGGUUCUAUUUUGUUGGUUUUCGGAGCGCGAGGUAAUGAUUAAGAGGGACAGACGGGGGCAUUCGUACUGUGCCGUUAGAGGUGAAAUUCUUGGAUCGGCGCAAGACGAACGACUGCGAAAGCAUUUGCCAAGAAUGUUUUCUUUAAUCAAGAGCGAAAGUCAGAGGUUCGAAGACGAUCAGAUACCGUCCUAGUUCUGACUAUAAACGAUGCCAACUAGCGAUCGGGGAGCGUUAAUUUGACGACCUCCCCGGCAGCUUGCGGGAAACCAAAGUCUUUGGGUUCCGGGGGAAGUAUGGUUGCAAAGCUGAAACUUAAAGGAAUUGACGGAAGGGCACCACCAGGAGUGGAGCCUGCGGCUUAAUUUGACUCAACACGGGAAAUCUCACCCGGCCCGGACACAGUGAGGAUUGACAGAUUGAGAGCUCUUUCUUGAUUCU